rnacentral:lncRNA from 1 species
CUGUUGCAGUGAACGAAAAGCACAAGAAGAAACUUUUAUAGGCAUUGUUGAUUUGACUAGGGCACCGAUAUCCCGAACUCACCGGAAAGCAGGGUUCUGAUUGUCCUAAGAAGAAGGCCUUAAGGUUCGUGGGUUUUGGAGAAUCCGUUCUGCAGACACAGAAAGUGAAAAGGUAAAGGCAGCCAUAGAGCUACAUUGCUUUGAUCUUAUCCCAGGACAGCGUGUGAAAGGACCUGGAACGACCUGCCAUCCUUAUCUGCGGAAAGCAUUAUUUAAAACGUGUUGCUGCUGUGUUAACUCAGACCAUUUGCUGUUCAGGAGUUACUGUCUGUGUUAGGUUAAUUAACGGUUACAUGGUGAAUAAUAGGAGAAGAGCUAUCCAUGUCUCAGGAAGAUACUAUCAAGAGAAGUAAAAUGGAUACUAGAUAUGGAUGAUGACUUUCAUCAGUAGUGGAGAGAAGACUGUGUUGAGAAGUCGUUUCAGUUGCGUAUGAAACGGCAGGUCUAAGCCAUGUAGCUCUGAAAGAGAACAGACGCUGCAUUGGCAGAGGGGACAGGAAUGACUGGGAGGCUUGAAGAACAGGAUAUAAAUGUGGCUGCUGGAGUGUGCAUGUCCUAGGAGGUGCAGAGCAUACGUGAAGAUCGGCUUGCAAAAGAAAAUGAGUAGAACAGAUGGCUGAGGAAAGUCAGGGGCUCUCACUGAACGUAUUAUAUUUUGCAGUGAAAACCUGUAGAGUAUGGUGACUGGAGAGAAGGCUCACUGCGCAGAGUGCUUGCUAUACAAACAUGAGGCCCAACCCGAGUUCAGAUCCCUGGCUCCCACAUGAAAAAAGCUGUUGUGGCAUUGUGUACCUGUAACCCCAGCACUAAGGCACGGAGACAGGUGGAUCCCCAAAACUCCCUGGUUUACACACAGGCAUGUAUGUGCAGGUACAUGUGCAUACACAUAAUGUACAUGCACUAUAUGCACAUAGGCAUCUACACAAGCUAUAGAUAAGUCAGAAAGGCACUGUGAUACAAAGUGUGGUGGCACAGGUCUUUUUGGGAGGCAGAGAUAGAGGAUCCAAAAUUUGAGGACAGCCUGGGCCAUGUGAUAACUUGUCACU